rnacentral:tRNA from 1 species
GCCGGCGUAGCUCAGUUGGUUAGAGCACCUGCCUGUGGAGCAGGGGGUCCCUGGUUCGAGUCCAGGCGCCGGUA